ACUACGGUAACAUACGAGGGUAUCCAAACAACACAUACUAUCCAAAUAAAAAAAUAUGGAGUUCCGGUUUAGACCAUGGGCGUGCGACGACCCCGAUGAAAUUCGGGAUAUCACGGUCUUCGUUAAUGUUAAUAAGCGUCCGUCAGAUCAGUAGGCGAAACGCAAUAUCCGCACAAUAAGAUGUCUGCGACUCGAAAGAAUAUUCAAAGUAAGCUGUUAAUUUUGUUGCGUCAGAAGCUAAUCAGCCGGUAACGGGACUACACUGAUAUAAUUUGUGAUACAAACAUGCUUCAUUCAAUACUGAGUAGCAUUUUUAAACGGCGACAUUUUGAACAUUUUUAUAUUUAGAGUGAGAGUGGAUACACGUUACACUGGCGCCGACAUUUUGAAAAUUUGAGGAAACAAAAACAUUCUCCAACGAGUUCUUCAGCUCGAGGAAUGAGAGAAUAGAUUCACCUUUGUGUCGCUUUUCAGAUCGUAUUUAAUUCCUUUCCGGUACUUUAGUUUCUUUGAACUUCUUUGUUACUAAGCCUAUAUUGAAUUUUUAAAAUUAAGAAAUCCGUGAUUUUACUUGCAGGCAUGACUGAUUAAUGGAAUUAUUUUACUUUUAUAUAGAAUAUGGACGGCACUCCAUUACAGCAUGUGCAUGGUUGGACCUGUUGACAUUUUUAGAAACUCAUCUUGGUCUAUUAUACAGAGUAUUGUUGUACUGCUCCAAAGUGCUUGUUGACAGACUGAAACCACUUGCUUGCGGCUCAUAAGGUUCACUUCUUGAGAGCAGGCAGCUACAAAACGGAAGGUCAACAAAUCCAGUAAACUUGAAAAGCAAGAAAGAAACACCAGAAAAUAUAAAAAGACAGAAGAACAAGGGAACUUUAAUAAAAAAAAUUUUUUAAGGAUAGGAAUUCAGGAUUUAUUUAGAAACUAAAUAUAUUUUGAGAACAGCAGUGUUUGACUAAGCUCUGUUACUUUAAGAGAUAAUGUGAUUAU